rnacentral:SRP_RNA from 1 species
CCGAGCAGCCGGGGGAGUAGCGGACCCUUGUACCGGAAAUCCGCUUUAGCCGGGGUGAUUUGCUAUUGAGGGCUCAUAGGGCGGGGCUGCCCUGAGUAAGUGGCGUUGAGAUUUGGGUCUUACGCAAUGGAUGCUUGUGAACCGUGUCAGGUCAGGAAUGAAGCAGCACUAAGCAGGAUUUUUCAUGUGCCGUGAGGGUGCCUGGGUUGAGUUAACUGCACAGGUAACGUCCGUUCGCUUUGUUCGAGAUAGCAAGCUCGG